UCCGGGCGGACGCCGAGUCCUGCCGCCGCCCGGAUGACCGGUCGACAGGAGUGGAUCGGCAGGAGUGGAGGACCCAGGCACGACGGGUCGCCGGAACGGGAGUUCGACUCCCGAGCCGAGCAGCCCUUGGGGUGAAGCCGCACUCGUGCGGCCGGGCAACUUCGCCAGCCCGAAUCCGACAGGUCAUCCUUCACAGGCGGCUGACGAAGGGUUG
rfam:Streptomyces sp. AVP053T2 APS67_contig000002, whole genome shotgun sequence.